AGUCUUAUAUUCAAUAAUGAUUUAAAAUUGCAAAUUUUAAGGUGUAAUCUUACUAAGACUU
rnacentral:tRNA from 1 species